CCUACGGGAGGCAGCAGUGAGGAAUAUUGGUCAAUGGGCGCGAGCCUGAACCAGCCAAGUCGCGUGAGGGAGGACGGCCCUACGGGUGGUAAACCUCUUUUGACGGGGAGCAACGGGGGCCACGUGUGGCGUCACUGAGAGUACCCGGAGAAAAAGCAACGGCUAACUACGUGCCAGCAGCCGCGGUAAUACGGAGGAGGCGAGCGUUAGCCGGAUGUAGUGGGUUUAAAGGGUGCGUAGGCGGAUCGUUAAGUCAGUGGUCAAGUUGAGGGGCGCGACCCCUUCCCGCCAUUGAAACUGGCGUUCUUGAGUGGAAGAGAGGUAUGCGGAAUUCGUGGUGUAGCGGUGAAAUGCAUAGAU
rnacentral:rRNA from 1 species